AGAGUUUGAUCCUGGCUCAGAACGAACGCUGGCGGCAUGGAUUAGGCAUGCAAGUCGAACGGUGCAGCAAUGCACAGUGGCGCAAGGGUGAGGAACGCGUGAGUAACCUGCCCUCAAGUUGGGAAUAGCUCCUGGAAACGGGAAUUAAUACCGAAUGUGACCAUUUUAAGGCAUCUUGAAAUGGUUGAAGGCCGCAAGGUCGCUUGAGGAGGGGCUCGCGUCCCAUUAGCUAGUUGGUGAGGUAACGGCCCACCAAGGCGAAGAUGGGUAGCUGGUCUGAGAGGACGAUCAGCCACACUGGGACUGAGAAACUGCCCAGACUCCUACGGGAGGCUGCAGUCGAGAAUUUUGGGCAAUGGGGGCAACCCUGACCCAGCAAUGCCGCGUGCGGGAUGAAGGUCUUCGGAUUGUAAACCGCUGUCAAGAGGGACGAAGAAAAUGACGGUACCUCUGGAGGAAGCCACGGCUAACUACGUGCCAGCAGCCGCGGUAAUACGUAGGUGGCGAGCGUUGUUCGGAUUCAUUGGGCGUAAAGGGUCCGCAGGUGGUCUGAUAAGUCUGACGUGAAAUACCGGAGCUCAACUCCGGAACUGCGUUGGAGACUGUUGGACUUGAGUAUCGGAGAGGAAAUUGGAAUUCCAGGUGUAGCGGUGGAAUGCGUAGAUAUCUGGAAGAACAUCGAAAGCGAAGGCAGAUUUCUGGACGAUAACUGACACUCAGGGACGAAAGCAUGGGGAGCAAACAGGAUUAGAUACCCUGGUAGUCCAUGCCCUAAACGUUGUAAACUUGAUAUGGGGAGAUUUACUCCUUUCCGUGUCGAAGCUAACGCGAUAAGUUUACCGCCUGGGAACUACGGCCGCAAGGCUAAAACUCAAAGGAAU
rnacentral:rRNA from 1 species